UACGUAGGUGGCAAGCGUUGCUCCGGAUUUACUGGGCGUAAAGAGCGCGCAGGCGGUUGGAUAAGUCGAAUGUGAAAGCCCCCGGCUCAACUGGGGAGGGUCACGCGAUACUGCUCGACUCGAAGGCAGGAGAGGGAAGUGGAAUUCUCGGUGUAGCGGUGAAAUGCGUAGAUAUCGAGAGGAACACCUGCGGCGAAGGCGGGUUGCUGGGCUGACACUGACGCUGAACUGCGAAAGCUAGGGGAGCGAACGGG
rnacentral:rRNA from 1 species